AUGCUUAACCAACUGAGCCACCCAGACUCCCCCAAGUGAUUCUAUUUUUUUAUUAUUCUUGGCUAUGUCAUAUCAAAUUUUCAGAUAGUGACUUACCUGUGUAUUUCUGGUGUAAAUCUAGAUUGCUAUGUUGGAUUUCGUUACAUGCUCUUGGGCUCUCUUGAUGAAACUUUGUUACACCCAUUAGUUAGACAGGUCUGCUUUUCCAUUUUGUUGCCUUUAAUCACUGGAAUUGUUGUCACAGUGCCUUUACUUGUCCUCACCUGAUCUGAUGCAGGUGUCCUUACGGACCAGUCCUGGGGAAUGGCGGCUGCUGACCCGUGGGCCUCCUGGGCUCUGUGUCCUCAGGACUCUGCCUGGCCUGUGGAAGAGAGCCCCGAGGAGCAGAGGAGGGUCUCUGGGCUCCCGACAGCCCACGUCCAGGUUGAUGCUGUCCUGUGAGCUCUGUGCUUGCUGGGCAGGGAACAUGGACGAGUCCAAGCCCUGGUCCCGAGGAAUUCUCAGUCCCCUUUCCAAGGUGGUUCGGUCA